CUCCUACGGGAGGCAGCAGUGGGGAAUAUUGCACAAUGGGCGCAAGCCUGAUGCAGCAACGCCACGUGAAGGAAGAAGGUCUUCGGAUCGUAAACUUCUGUCCUUGGGGAAGAAGAAGUGACGGUACCCAUGGAGGAAGCCCCGGCUAACUACGUGCCAGCAGCCGCGGUAAUA
rnacentral:rRNA from 1 species